GACGAACGCUGGCGGCGUGCCUAAUACAUGCAAGUCGAACGCAGUGGGGACGGGUGAGUAACACGUGGGUAACCUCCCAUCAGAGGGGAUAACACUUGGAAACAGGUGCUAAACCGAUACUGAUGGAUGGUCCCGCGGUGCAUUAGCUAGUUGGUGGUGUAACGGCUCACCAAGGCCACGAUGCAUAGCCGACCUGAGAGGAUGAUCAGCCACACUGGGACUGAGACACGGCCCAGACUCCUACGGGAGGCAGCAGUAGGGAAUCGUCGGCAAUGGGCGAAAGUCUGACCGAGCCAUGCCGCGUGAGUGAAGAAGGUUUUCGGGUCGUAAAGCACUUUUGUUAGGGAAGCGGUAUCGAACGAGAAAGCCACGGCUAACUACGUGCCAGCAGCCGCGGUAAUUC
rnacentral:rRNA from 1 species